rnacentral:rRNA from 1 species
UAGGGAAUCUUCGGCAAUGGACGGAAGUCUGACCGAGCAACGCCGCGUGAGUGAAGAAGGUUUUCGGAUCGUAAAGCUCUGUUGUUAGAGAAGAACGUUGGUAGGAGUGGAAAAUCUACCAAGUGACGGUAACUAACCAGAAAGGGACGGCUAACUACGUGCCAGCAGCCGCGGUAAUAAGUAGGUCCCGAGCGUUGUCCGGAUUUAUUUGGCGUAAAGCGAGCGCAGGCGGUUCUUUAAGUCUGAAGUUAAAGGCAGUGGCUUAACCAUUGUACGCUUUGGAAACUGGAGGACUUGAGUGCAGAAGGGGAGAGUGGAAUUCCAUGUGUAGCGGUGAAAUGCGUAGAUAUAUGGAGGAACACCGGUGGCGAAAGCGGCUCUCUGGUCUGUAACUGACGCUGAGGCUCGAAAGCGUGGGGAGCAAACAGG